AGGAGUUUGAUCCUGGCUCAGAACGAACGCUGGCGGCAGGCCUAACACAUGCAAGUCGAACGAGAAGCCACCUUCGGGUGGUGGACAGUGGCAGACGGGUGAGUAACGCGUGGGAACGUGCCUUUCGGUUCGGGAUAACCCAGGGAAACUUGGACUAAUACCGGAUACGCCCUUCGGGGGAAAGAUUCAUUGCCGAAAGAUCGGCCCGCGUCGGAUUAGCUAGUUGGUGAGGUAAAAGCUCACCAAGGCGACGAUCCGUAGCUGGUCUGAGAGGAUGACCAGCCACACUGGGACUGAGACACGGCCCAGACUCCUACGGGAGGCAGCAGUGGGGAAUAUUGGACAAUGGGCGCAAGCCUGAUCCAGCCAUGCCGCGUGGGUGAAGAAGGCCUUAGGGUUGUAAAUCCCUUUCAGCGGGGAAGAUAAUGACGGUACCCGCAGAAGAAGCCCCGGCUAACUCCGUGCCAGCAGCCGCGGUAAUACGGAGGGGGCUAGCGUUGUUCGGAAUUACUGGGCGUAAAGCGCGCGUAGGCGGACCUGUAAGUCGGGGGUGAAAGCCCGAGGCUCAACCUCGGAACUGCCUCCGAUACUACAGGUCUUGAGUCCGAGAGAGGUGAGUGGAAUUCCUAGUGUAGAGGUGAAAUUCGUAGAUAUUAGGAAGAACACCAGUGGCGAAGGCGGCUCACUGGCUCGGUACUG
rnacentral:rRNA from 1 species